CUUUUUCUUGUUUAGAAAUAUAAAAUUGCAUGCUAAAUCUCAUUUCAUUCUUAGAAUUUGUCGGAAGGGUUAUUUGAUGAUUAUGUUGAUUUUUUAAAGCGUUGCUUGUAGAAAUGUGAUAUAAGGUCAUUCUAGAGGCGAAUGUGAGUGACAAGGCUAUCAAAUAUGCAUGUUCCUUCAGGAGUCCUCAUCAUCAUCAUUUUUUCAGGGUUAUUAUGGGCAGUGUUAGCAACUAUGUAGUUAACAAUGGAGCAUGCCCCGUCACCGUUGUCAAGAGCGUAGAAGCACAUGAAGGCUAGAUGAUAAUUCUAAACUUUCCAAUGGUAGAGUGAAGAAGUUGCUUGCGCAAGGUGUAUCUCAAAUCGAUAUCAUGAAGAAAAAACCUUAUCAGGAGCUGAUACAAGUGAAACUGACAGAGAUGGAAAUACAGUCUUCAACUUGUACCUGAAAGCAAUUCCUUUUCAUUGUAAUCUAAGUAUUUGAUGAGAGGACUUUCAAGUAGACCAUAAUCAUGGCAUAUUUUGGGUUGCGAAAAAGGAGUUAAUUGAGUUACAUGUACCUAUGUUUGCAAGUUAUCACAAAAACAGAGAGAGGUAAGUACCGCUCCCGGUAAAUUUUAUUUUAGACAAGGAAAUCCCUGUUUGCAACAAUCUGAGAAUUCUUUUCUGCAGCAUCAAACUGAUGCAAUCUUAGCACGAAUAUGGAGGUUUUUUGCUGAUUCUCUGUAUUU